UACAGAGGUGGCAAGCGUUGUUCGGAAUUACUGGGCGUAAAGGGCGCGUAGGCGGUCUUUUAAGUCUUGUGUGAAAUCCCUCGGCUCAACUGAGGAACUGCACGGGAUACUGGAAGACUUGAGUUCGGGAGAGGGAAGCGGAAUUCCGGGUGUAGCGGUGAAAUGCGUAGAUAUCUGGAGGAACACCGGUGGCGAAGGCGGCAUCCUGGACCAUUAUUGACGCUGAGGAGCGAAAGCCAGGGGAGCAAACGGG
rnacentral:rRNA from 1 species